ACGGCGUGAUUCUCGGUAGUCACAACAACACCGUUAUUGCUGUUGCGAUCCGGCUCCUUCGGACACUGGUGAUUACUAUUGAGCGUUUGCUGCUGCUGUUGUACCAGUGUCACCAUACCCAUGUGCUAUACGAAAAAAUCAUCUUUGCAUCGGAUAUGUUUUAAAAUGCAGUAAGCUGCAUGCAGCAGAAUGUACUUGUCGAGAAACAACUACGGGAUUUUUAAAUAAAUUCAUAAGAAUCACAUUUGGAAAUGCAAUUAUUUUUCGUUAAUGUAGGAUGAAUUUAAAAGUUUACGAAAAGAGAUUCACGCGCCAAUCACAAUGGAAUAUAUUUCAAAUAAAGUAUAUAAUAUGUGCAAAAGAAAAACGAUAAGUAUCUUCUGUAAGAAGCAUACGAAACAUCAUCUACAACGAAUUGAUUUUUUCGUAAACAAAUUAUGGACAUCGAUUAUACUAAUCACUGAAGGAGCGUGGACGUCACAGUAUCGUAUCUUCCAUCGAAAUUGUUUUAUUGCGAAAUAAGUUGCAUCUAAUCUAGUUGAUCAAUCGCAUCCUGCUUAUCUAUAAUCACAGUAGCAAAUUUCUAAUUGGGUAUGGCGAUUCUUGUUCAAAAGUAAAAGUAUUUAUAUCUUCAAUCGCAGAUGCUUCAUCUGUUUUCGUGUCUUAUUAUAGUAAAUUACACGUCAAUUGUAAGACUAAUCAUCGUGAUUAAAAAUACAAACGUUUUAUACGUUUUAUUUAAAUCAGGAACUUGUAGAUAAAACCAAGGAUUUAUAAGUAAAGAACAAUCAGUGAGCUCAA
rnacentral:lncRNA from 13 species